UCCGGGCUGUCCAUCAGUGUAAAUAACUGGUGAAGAAAGGGCCGGGCAAGACCGGUGCCAGCCGCCGCGGUAAUACCGGCGGCUCGAGUGGUGGCCGCUAUUACUGGGCUUAAAGCGUUCGUAGCUGGGCUGUUAAGUCCCCUGGGAAAUCCACCGGCUCAACCGAUGGGCGUUCAGGGGAUACUGGCAGCCUAGGGACCGGGAGAGGUGAGGGGUACUCCAGGGGUAGGAGUGAAAUCCUGUAAUCCUUGGGGGACCACCUGUGGCGAAGGCGUCUCACUAGAACGGCUCCGACAGUGAGGAACGAAAGCUGGGGGAGCAAACCGGAUUAGAUACCCGGGUAGUCCCAGCUGUAAACGAUGCGCGUUAGGUGUAUCGGUGACCACGAGUCACCGAGGUGCCGAAGAGAAAUCGUGAAACGUGCCGCCUGGGAAGUACGGUCGCAAGGCUGAAACUUAAAGGAAUUGGCGGGGGAGCAC
rnacentral:rRNA from 1 species